CAAGGCUUGACAUAUAGAGGAAAAGUGCAGAAAUGUACUCCCCGUAAGGUCUCUAUACAGGUGGUGCAUGGUUGUCGUCAGCUCGUGUCGUGAGAUGUUGGGUUAAGUCCCGCAACGAGCGCAACCCUCGUCCUAUGUUGCCAGCACGUAAUGGUGGGAACUCAUGGGAUACUGCCGGGGUCAACUCGGAGGAAGGUGGGGAUGACGUCAAAUCAUCAUGCCCCUUAUGUCUUGGGCUUCACGCAUGCUACAAUGGCCGGUACAGAGGGCUGCAAUACCGUAAGGUGGAGCGAAUCCCAAAAAGCCGGUCUCAGUUCGGAUUGAGGUCUGCAACUCGACCUCAUGAAGUCGGAGUCGCUAGUAAUCGUAGAUCAGCAACGCUACGGUGAAUACGUUCCC
rnacentral:rRNA from 1 species